AAAUUGAAGAGUUUGAUCAUGGCUCAGAUUGAACGCUGGCGGCAGGCCUAACACAUGCAAGUCGAACGGUAACAGGAAGCAGCUUGCUGCUUCGCUGACGAGUGGCGGACGGGUGAGUAAUGUCUGGGAAACUGCCUGAUGGAGGGGAUAACUACUGGAAACGGUGGCUAAUACCGCAUAACGUCGCAAGACCAAAGAGGGGGACCUUCGGGCCUCUUGCCAUCAGAUGUGCCCAGAUGGGAUUAGCUUGUUGGUGAGGUAACGGCUCACCAAGGCGACGAUCCCUAGCUGGUCUGAGAGGAUGACCAGCCACACUGGAACUGAGACACGGUCCAGACUCCUACGGGAGGCAGCAGUGGGGAAUAUUGCACAAUGGGCGCAAGCCUGAUGCAGCCAUGCCGCGUGUAUGAAGAAGGCCUUCGGGUUGUAAAGUACUUUCAGCGGGGAGGAAGGUGUUGUGGUUAAUAACCGCAGCAAUUGACGUUACCCGCAGAAGAAGCACCGGCUAACUCCGUGCCAGCAGCCGCGGUAAUACGGAGGGUGCAAGCGUUAAUCGGAAUUACUGGGCGUAAAGCGCACGCAGGCGGUCUGUCAAGUCGGAUGUGAAAUCCCCGGGCUCAACCCCGGGAACUGCAUUCGAAACUGGCAGGCUUGAGUCUUGUAGAGGGGGGUAGAAUUCCAGGUGUAGCGGUGAAAUGCGUAGAGAUCUGGAGGAAUACCGGUGGCGAAGGCGGCCCCUGACAAAGACUGACGCUCAGGUGCGAAAGCGUGGGGAGCAAACAGGAUUAGAUACCCUGGUAGUCCACGCCGUAAACGAUGUCUACUUGGAGGUUGUGCCCUUGAGGCGUGGCUUCCGGAGCUAACGCGUUAAGUAGACCGCCUGGGGAGUACGGCCGCAAGGUUAAAACUCAAAUGAAUUGACGGGGGCCCGCACAAGCGGUGGAGCAUGUGGUUUAAUUCGAUGCAACGCGAAGAACCUUACCUGGUCUUGACAUCCACAGAACUUUCCAGAGAUGGAUUGGUGCCUUCGGGAACUGUGAGACAGGUGCUGCAUGGCUGUCGUCAGCUCGUGUUGUGAAAUGUUGGGUUAAGUCCCGCAACGAGCGCAACCCUUAUCCUUUGUUGCCAGCGGUUAGGCCGGGAACUCAAAGGAGACUGCCAGUGAUAAACUGGAGGAAGGUGGGGAUGACGUCAAGUCAUCAUGGCCCUUACGACCGUGGCUACACACGUGCUACAAUGGCGCAUACAAAGAGAAGCGACCUCGCGAGAGCAAGCGGACCUCAUAAAGUGCGUCGUAGUCCGGAUUGAGUCUGCAACUCGACUCCAUGAAGUCGGAAUCGCUAGUAAUCGUGGAUCAGAAUGCCACGGUGAAUACGUUCCCGGGCCUUGUACACACCGCCCGUCACACCAUGGGAGUGGGUUGCAAAAGAAGUAGGUAGCUUAACCUUCGGGAGGGCGCUUACCACUUUGUGAUUCAUGACUGGGGUGAAGUCGUAACAAGGUAACCGUAGGGAACCUGCGGUUGGAUCACCUCCUUACCUUAAAGAAGC
rnacentral:rRNA from 1 species